rnacentral:rRNA from 1 species
UCAGGAUGAACGCUGGCGGCGUGCCUAAUACAUGCAAGUCGAGCGAACAGAUAAGGAGCUUGCUCCUUUGACGUUAGCGGCGGACGGGUGAGUAACACGUGGGUAACCUACCUAUAAGACUGGGAUAACUUCGGGAAACCGGAGCUAAUACCGGAUAACAUUUGGAACCGCAUGGUUCUAAAGUGAAAGAUGGUUUUGCUAUCACUUAUAGAUGGACCCGCGCCGUAUUAGCUAGUUGGUAAGGUAACGGCUUACCAAGGCGACGAUACGUAGCCGACCUGAGAGGGUGAUCGGCCACACUGGAACUGAGACACGGUCCAGACUCCUACGGGAGGCAGCAGUAGGGAAUCUUCCGCAAUGGGCGAAAGCCUGACGGAGCAACGCCGCGUGAGUGAUGAAGGGUUUCGGCUCGUAAAACUCUGUUAUUAGGGAAGAACAAACGUGUAAGUAACUGUGCAUGUCUUGACGGUACCUAAUCAGAAAGCCACGGCUAACUACGUGCCAGCAGCCGCGGUAAUACGUAGGUGGCAAGCGUUAUCCGGAAUUAUUGGGCGUAAAGCGCGCGUAGGCGGUUUCUUAAGUCUGAUGUGAAAGCCCACGGCUCAACCGUGGAGGGUCAUUGGAAACUGGGAAACUUGAGUGCAGAAGAGGAAAGUGGAAUUCCAUGUGUAGCGGUGAAAUGCGCAGAGAUAUGGAGGAACACCAGUGGCGAAGGCGACUUUCUGGUCUGUAACUGACGCUGAUGUGCGAAAGCGUGGGGAUCAAACAGGAUUAGAUACCCUGGUAGUCCACGCCGUAAACGAUGAGUGCUAAGUGUUAGGGGGUUUCCGCCCCUUAGUGCUGCAGCUAACGCAUUAAGCA